ensembl:lncRNA
AACAAAAUGGCGGCAGAGUGCCCUGUGCCUCAGCUCCCUCAGCAGCUCCUGCCCCAGAAAGGAGCUUCCACUUGGAUUACGUUGGCCUUUGCAGUCUGGAGGACCCAGUUCUUCAUUUUGAUGAAGGAAGAUAAUGUUUCUCAAGGGAAUAAGGAAUUAAGAGCAAUAAUGAGGACUAUUAUAAUGAUGUAGAAGUUUAGCUGUAAAUGGGAGGAGAUGUAAGCUCUUUGCAGCAGAGGAAUUGAGGCAGGGGAGAAGAGAUCCAUUCCAGACCUCUGGAAGCGCCUGUUGAGGGAAAAGCAGAAAGACGGGAUAACAGUCACAAGUGAAAUUCUUAUGCAGAAGAUGAGGCAAAAUAAUGCAGUCCAUGGAUCUGUGACCUGUGAUAAAACCACAGACCUGGUGGUACUGUUCACUUGCUUGGCUGUUUUUUUCCAUUUUGCCCAUCAUUUUGUCAUUCUAUGCCAUAAUUUCUUUAUUAAUAUUUAUGCUUACGAACUCUUAAUACCAGGCUAUGCAUGCACAUUUGCCACUCCAGCUCUGCUAGGUGAUACAGAGGUAGAUUUCACUGGCCUUUGUAAUGAGAAGUUGUCCUUUCAGCUGAUUCCCAGAUGCUGUUGGUACCUCAGGAGCUCAAUGCUGUGUCCUUGUUUUCAUUGUAUUUUAGCUUUUUUUUUUUUGUUAUGAAGCUUAAGACCUGCAGUGUUUGAUGAUCUUGAUAAGGUACUAUUUAUUCAGCCCUUCUCACUCUC